AAGGUCGGUUGUGACCUGCGUCUGGGCUCGGAGAUGAAGGAGGACCAUUGUGGGGUGUGUGGAGGAGACGGCUCCUCUUGCAACAAGCCCUCCUACUACUGGGAGAAGAGAGCCAAUGGUCCUUGCUCUGCUACGUGUGGUGGAGGCUAUCAGAUGCUAUCAGCCGUGUGUGUGGAGCGCUCGAGCGCCAGGCGAACGUCAGAGGAGCUCUGCGACCAUUCCACCAGGCCCAUUCCUGUUAUACUCAACUGUAAUGACGACGCCUGUCCUACCAGCUGGCAGACUGGGGAUUGGGGCAGCUGCUCCGUCACGUGCGGAUCCGGCUACCAGCUGCGGGAAGUGUACUGCGCAGAGCCGCGCAAUACGAGCGCAGUCCGCGUCGCUGACCACUACUGCACCCCUCCCAGGCCCCGCCAUCGUCAGCCCUGUAACACGUACGACUGUCCGCGAUGGUACGACGGUAUAUGGUCCCAGUGUUCAGUGUCGUGUGGUGACGGGGUACAGACGCGGGUGGUGCUGUGUCGCGACGCCCAGGGCCUGUCUUCCCGUCUCUGUCAGGGUGCUACCCGUCCGUCCGACACCCGUCCCUGUCGCACGGGAGUCGCCUGUCCGCCGCCCAAGACCCUCGCUCACCCACGCCACCAGCCUUACACACCGUCGUGGUGGUCGGAAGAGCAGGACGCCCUGGCCAGCGGGGAGGGCCCAGCACCGCCUCUCAUUCCUCGUCCCCAGGCACUGAUUGUCGACCACCAGGUGCCAUCAGAGCCAACAUACAUGAUGGGCAACUGGAGCAGCUGCAGCGUGUCGUGUGGAGAAGGUCAGAGGCGCCGGACUGUCACUUGCAAGAUCUUCUUGGAGUUCUCCCGUACAGUGGCGGUGCUUCCGGAUGAUCAGUGCCCCGGGGCCAAGCCUCCAGAGACCAAACCCUGCCUUCUGCCUCUAUGUUUGCACGAUUAUCGUGGUGGUGAGGUCAGUGAUGCUGCGCAGGAGCAUCCCAUUGUGAGUCUGGAAGAUGCCCAUGAAGAUGAGUCGAAUAAUGACCGCAAAAUUCAUGAGACGCCCUUUCUACCAAGGCUAGUGGAUGAAGAUGCAGCCUCGGGUAGAAGCAAGGAGUUAGGACAGGAUUUAGAUUUGUCGGUGCCGAAGGCACAAGCAUAUAAUGAACCACGUCCUGGCCUCCACUCCUAUGAGACACCUAUUGAUCUGCGUGCUCCCAGUGAUCCCCUACAUCUAUAUGCUAGUGAAAUUGGUGUCAAUAACCAAUAUGAAUCAUAUGAGGUGCCCCAUAGAAAGCCUCAUUUAGAAUCUGAACACUCGGAGAUGAACUCUAUAGAAAUUGACAUGGGUGGAGGUGAGGGAGAAUAUCCUGGGUCUUAUCAGAUUGAUGAGGAGUCCAACGAUGGCCAAGUCUACCAGUGGACCACCCUAGGCUUUGGGUCCUGCAGUGCUUCAUGCCUUGGUGGAGUACAAGAGUCUAUGGUAACGUGUAUCAGGACCUCGGACAGAAAACCGGUAAUAGCACAGCUGUGUAGCACCCAGGUGCGGCCAGACAUCAUUACACGCACCUGCAAUGACCAGCCUUGUCCUCCACGAUGGAAUAUUUCUGAAUUUGGAGAAUGCAGCAAGCCAUGUGGUGGAGGAAUACAGACACGAGAGGUGAAGUGUAUCCACGAAGUGACUCGAGGAGGGACCAAUACUGUAGAAGUGCCCGACAGACUCUGCCCACAACCACCACAUCGUACACAGCAACACUGCAACUUCAGGGAUUGUCCACCAGAGUGGGUUCCAGGCCGAUGGUCGAAGUGUUCAGCACCAUGUGAUGGGGGAGUGAAACAGCGUGAAAUGAAAUGCCACCAGACCCUGGCAAAUGGGCGGAUUGAAGAGAGGCCCAGCAGAGAGUGUCCCCAUCGGCAGCCACGCUCUCUCAGAAAGUGCAACCAGAGGGCCUGCCAGAGCGAGAAACAAGAACCCAGGAAUUCCAUUAUUAAAGCCCAAGUUCACCAAAACUACAUCCAAAGCAAGUUUAUGAAAAGGCUUACUCUCAAGGUUGGUGGAAAGGCUGCAGUGUUCCGAGGAGUAAAAGUGAAAGUGAAAUGCCCCGUGCGACGCUUUGAUCGUGCGAAGAUUACUUGGUGGUACGAAGGUAACAAAAUUGGAAAUAGAGGUUCGGUCAGAACUAACAAAAAUGGUGUUCUUAAAAUCAAAGAAGUGCAGUACCCACAUGCUGGAGUCUAUAUCUGCAAAGCAAAUGUGUCUGAGGCCAAUAUUACCCUUGAGGUGAAGCCCUUACCCUCAAGCUAUCCAUCGUCAGAGGAACUUCAUCAUACAUCUGGCAGCUCGGUUAAUGAAGUCAGUCUCCACAACUUUGAUACUACGGGCACUCUCAAUGGCUAUGAAUGGUUGCCUAACAAGUCCAGUAAGUUCCAAGGCACUGGAGGUCGUCGUCGAAAGGGAAGGAGAAGGAACAAACCCACAAAGAACAAAGGACGCGGAGGUCGCCGUCGUAAAGGUAACUGGGAUAGCGAGUGGCCAAAGAGCAGCAACAAGACAGCGUGGACCAUGCAUACCACAUUUAGACCAAUACUACCUUUCCCCACAAGCUCAGGAUCAGUAACACUGGGAGAAGGACCCUUUAAGGCAUCAAGCAAAAACAUGCACACUGUUGAGGUGACAAGCAGUGAAGCAACUAACACUUUUGACCCCACAUUUUGGCAGCGCAACACUCACACCCAUAAACCUAAACAGGAUUACGUGUAUGGGACGGUCAGACACACUCACGACUGGCCUCUCCACAGUGAGAAGGGUUACCACAGAGAGACGGGAUGGGAUGAAGAGACACACUUAUUUGGAACUACCAAUCAUCUUCCGGAGAAGGACAUUGGUGAAGAAACACAACAUACUUUUGGCACAAUCACUCACCAUAGACAGAAACUUACAAGAUCUUUCUCCAGUGAUGGAAGCCGCUUCACUAGUGAAGAAAACCAGAGUUAUGGUAUUAUACAUUAUGGCCCGCAAGCUGAAACAACAGACACGACAGAUUCUGGACGAACAAGCUGGUCAGAUAUGACCACUGUUCCAGAAACCCACGUGCCUGAGAAGAACCCUGCCUUUGAGGAAGACCGCAAUUCUAUUGAAGAUGCUCUUAGUGGGGUGGAAACAGAGUCGCGUUUCUCGCCGGCACGUAGUGAUUCAGAUAGAGAGCACCGCCACCAUAUACCUCAUCGGUCAGAUUUGAGGUCUUGGUCAAAUCAUGGUGUAACUUGGAACUCAGGUCUUAGCACAGGCCGCAGGCCAAGUCAGAGCACCUCUUCUCCCACUUGGGACUAUGCCUCAAGCACUACCUCAAACAAUUCCCAAUUGUGGCAUUCUUGGACCAACUCUUUGGACCAGCACCAGCAGUACGACCCCCCUGGCACCCCCCACUCGCACACCGAGGCCUCCCCUUCCCUGCCCCCUGCACCUCCCAACACCAGCUCUGGAGGCUCUCGCUCUGUACCCUACUUCCAGAAGCUGCUGUCCAACCUGGAGAGCUUUUUGCCGGCCUCUCUGCAGAGAACAAUCAGCUCUAGGGGAGGACGCCAUGCUGCUCCACCAAGAGACGAGUUUGGUGGAAUGAUCUCUCAUGACCUUGUUCGUGACGUAACUACCACUGAGCAUCCACUCGGAACGCCUGAAAUCCUUGGCAAAGGCACUCGGGAUUCUCUGGAGUUUGAAUGGCAAGUGACAAAUUGGUCCGAGUGUUCCCAGACUUGUGGCUUCACCAGCACUUCUAGUGGAUUUCAGGUUCGGUCCAUGCAAUGCCUAGUGAAGGUGAAUAAUGUGAGUCGGCCAGUGGAUGGGGCAUUGUGCGUGGAUGCUGGACUCGAGGCCCCAGUCACCCUACAGAAGUGCGGUCUUACAGAGUGUCCACAGUGGCAUUUUGGAGAGUGGUCAGAGUGCGAGUCAUCACGCUGUUUCACACUUUAUCAUGCUUUUCAACGUCGUGAUGUGGUGUGCCGACUCCAUAACGGUACAGUUGUCAGUGCUUCACAGUGCGAUGACCGAACUCGUCCCCGGCAUCGGCAAGAAUGCUACAACUAUCAAUGCUCUGGUGUAUGGCGAGUCGGCGAGUGGUCAGAGUGUACUGCACUGUGUGGAGGACAGGGGUAUCGAACUCGGCUUUUGCAGUGUGUUUGGAAUGGUACCAAGAAAGCAGCUGGUAAUGCCUGUCGAGAACUGCCUCGUCCUGAAGUGGUUCGCUGGUGUGACGGUGAACCCUGCCCUGACCUCAGUAUGUAAUAUGGAGUCCAAAUCACCAAAUCAUUGGUCAAGGCCAAUAGGUCACCAGGCAUCAUCCUUCCUGGUCCUAUGCAUGCAAAAUCAGUAAAGUCAACAUUCUGCAAAUACAUUCACUGGAAGGAUCUUUUCGAGCACCCUUGCUGUGUUAUUCCUUACUGGUGGUAAGGAAGCACUGUUGAACUUCUUUGCAAAGUUCAGGGUGACCUUUAGAUGGUUCAUUAUUGAACAAUUUCAGCACCGUGAAGAGGGAAGACCUGCUGCAUAGGUGAGGAGGAAACCAAGGAGUUGAGCGAGUGUCGGGAUCGGAGUAAGUACUGCAACAUUGUCAAGAGGAUGAACAUGUGCCGCAUCCCAACGUACCGAAAGCAAUGUUGUCGUUCCUGUCCUUAGCACAUCC
rnacentral:misc_RNA from 1 species